AAGAGAGCGCAUACAGUAUUUCUCUGACUUACUUCACUUCGUAUAAUACCUUCUAGGUCUAUCCAUACUGUCACAAAUGGUGAGACUUCAUUCUU